UCUUGUACUCCUUAUUAUGGCACGAGUCUGAAGUAUAAUUGCCACAUUACAUCGUUUUCCCUUUCUCCCCUUUUGGCGAUUUUGGGUUUUCUCGUCUCGUGGGAAAUGGCCGAUUCUCCUCGCAAAAGCACUAUGGCGGGAGUCGUGAAUAAGUUCUUUAUCACAUCUUUGAUUAUGUGGGCAGCUCCCGUUGCAAUUUUGUACGCCUUUAACCACAACUUAAUUC